rnacentral:lncRNA from 1 species
GGAGAGAUGAGUGACUGAGCUGGUAGAAACUUACAUACUGUCUCCUUAUAAUUACAAUAAGAAAAUCUUCCUGCUGUUCUUAGAGUCCUGUCCUUUAGGAUCUCACUGUCUUCUAAGCAUCCUCAGAAAUACAUGUUGACAGAUUUGAGACUGCU